CAGGAACCCUCAACCCUCCUCCCUCACUCUUCACGUCACUGCUUCCCUUGCCACUGUCCAGCCGCCGCACCACGCCCACUGCCGGACCACCACCUUCACCGACGACCACCGUCGACCCUCGUGCCCACCGUGAGCUCGCCGCCGUCGAUACUCCGCCGCCGCGAGUACAGCCCUGUCCACCGUCCCGCCACCACCACCGCGUGACGCCACCGCACGCAACCCCUUGCUCAGCCUCGCCGCGAACCACCGCAUAUCCGCCGGCCAGCUCUCCUCUCUCCUCCUUAAUUCUUGGUUAUUUCUUAAACCCUAAGUAACUAAUUAUUUUAAUUAAAGUUUGUUAACUUAAAUGAUGUUCUUGAAUUAAAUUUAUAAUUUUUAUUGUUAAAUAUGGUUUUCAGAUUUGGGUGUUGUUAUUAUAAACCAAUUAUUUUCAGUUUUGAUUAAUUAAAAAUUAAGU